GUUGAAGCAUGAUCGUAAGGACAUGUGGAGCGCUUAGAAGUGAGAAUGCCGGUGUGAGUAGCGAAAGACGGGUGAGAAUCCCGUCCACCGAUUGACUAAGGUUUCCAGAGGAAGGCUCGUCCGCUCUGGGUUAGUCGGGUCCUAAGCUGAGGCCGACAGGCGUAGGCGAUGGAUAACAGGUUGAUAUUCCUGUACCACCUAUAAUCGUUUUAAUCGAUGGGGGGACGCAGUAGGAUAGGCGAAGCGUGCGAUUGGAUUGCACGUCUAAGCAGUAAGGCUGAGUAUUAGGCAAAUCCGGUACUCGUUAAGGCUGAGCUGUGAUGGGGAGAAGACAUUGUGUCUUCGAGUCGUUGAUUUCACACUGCCGAGAAAAGCCUCUAGAUAGAAAAUAGGUGCCCGUACCGCAAACCGACACAGGUAGUCAAGAUGAGAAUUCUAAGGUGAGCGAGCGAACUCUCGUUAAGGAACUCGGCAAAAUGACCCCGUAACUUCGGGAGAAGGGGUGCUCUUUAGGGUUAACGCCCAGAAGAGCCGCAGUGAAUAGGCCCAAGCGACUGUUUAUCAAAAACACAGGUCUCUGCUAAACCGUAAGGUGAUGUAUAGGGGCUGACGCCUGCCCGGUGCUGGAAGGUUAAGAGGAGUGGUUAGCUUCUGCGAAGCUACGAAUCGAAGCCCCAGUAAACGGCGGCCGUAACUAUAACGGUCCUAAGGUAGCGAAAUUCCUUGUCGGGUAAGUUCCGACCCGCACGAAAGGCGUAACGAUUUGGGCACUGUCUCAACGAGAGACUCGGUGAAAUCAUAGUACCUGUGAAGAUGCAGGUUACCCGCGACAGGACGGAAAGACCCCGUGGAGCUUUACUGUAGCCUGAUAUUGAAAUUCGGCACAGCUUGUACAGGAUAGGUAGGAGCCUUUGAAACGUGAGCGCUAGCUUACGUGGAGGCGCUGGUGGGAUACUACCCUAGCUGUGUUGGCUUUCUAACCCGCACCACUUAUCGUGGUGGGAGACAGUGUCAGGCGGGCAGUUUGACUGGGGCGGUCGCCUCCUAAAAGG
rnacentral:rRNA from 1 species